UACGUAGGGUGCAAGCGUUGUCCGGAAUUAUUGGGCGUAAAGAGCUCGUAGGCGGUCUGUCACGUCGGCUGUGAAAACCCGAGGCUCAACCUCGGGCCUGCAGUCGAUACGGGCAAACUAGAGUACUGCAGGGGAGACUGGAAUUCCUGGUGUAGCGGUGAAAUGCGUAGAUAUCGGGAAGAACACCCGUGGCGAAGGCGGCUCUCUGGGCAUUACCUGACGCUGAGGAGCGAAAGUGUGGGGAGCGAACAGG
rnacentral:rRNA from 1 species